GGGGUGAUGACAUCACACAGGUGUCUGUGUGUGUGAUGUCACAGGUGUGUGAUGACGUCACACAGGUGAGCGAUGACGUCACACAGGUGUGUGAUGACGUCACACAGGUGUGUGUGUGUGUCAGUGAUGACGUCACACAGGUGUGUGAUGACGUCACACAGGUGUGUGUGUCAGUGAUGACGUCACACAGGUGUGUGAUGACCUCACCUGGCUGUAGGCACACCCCCCCCUCUGCAGCAGGUACCGCGCCGUGUCCAGCUGUGUGUGUGAUGUCACACAGGUGUGUGUGUGUGAUGUUACAGGUGUGUGAUGACGUCACACAGGUGAGUGAUGACGUCACACAGGUGUGAUGACCUCACCUGGCUGUAGGCACACCCCCCCCUCUGCAGCAGGUACCGCGCCGUGUCCAGCUGUGUGUGUGUGAUGUCACACAGGUGUGUGUGAUGACGUCACACAGGUGUGUGAUGAUGUCAGAGGUGU
rnacentral:lncRNA from 1 species